AAAUUGAAGAGUUUGAUCAUGGCUCAGAUUGAACGCUGGCGGCAGGCCUAACACAUGCAAGUCGAACGGUAACAGGAAGCAGCUUGCUGCUUUGCUGACGAGUGGCGGACGGGUGAGUAAUGUCUGGGAAACUGCCUGAUGGAGGGGGAUAACUACUGGAAACGGUGGCUAAUACCGCAUAACGUCGCAAGACCAAAGAGGGGGACCUUCGGGCCUCUUGCCAUCAGAUGUGCCCAGAUGGGAUUAGCUUGUUGGUGAGGUAACGGCUCACCAAGGCGACGAUCCCUAGCUGGUCUGAGAGGAUGACUAGCCACACUGGAACUGAGACACGGUCCAGACUCCUACGGGAGGCAGCAGUGGGGAAUAUUGCACAAUGGGCGCAAGCCUGA
rnacentral:rRNA from 1 species